rnacentral:tRNA from 1 species
GCCUUCGUGGUGUAGUGGUCAGCACACUCGGUGCAUAUUAGAGAUCCGUGGUUCGAGUCCUGGAGAAGGCA